rnacentral:tRNA from 1 species
GCGGGUAUAGUUUAGUGGUAGGAUGCGACCUUCCCAAGGUUGAGACCCGGGUUCGAUUCCCGGUACCCGCACCA